rnacentral:rRNA from 1 species
UAGGGAAUCUUCCGCAAUGGACGCAAGUCUGACGGAGCAACGCCGCGUGAGUGAUGAAGGUUUUCGGAUCGUAAAGCUCUGUUGCCCUAGACGAACGCUUGCGAGAGUAACUGCUCGCAAGGUGACGGUAUAGGAGAAGAAAGCCCCGGCUAACUACGUGCCAGCAGCCGCGGUAAUACGUAGGGGGCAAGCGUUGUCCGGAAUUAUUGGGCGUAAAGGGCGCGUAGGCAGCCUGCUAAGUCGAACGUGAAAUCCCCGGGCUCAACCCGGGAACUGCGUCCGAUACUGGCAGGCUUGAAUUCGGGAGAGGGAUGCGGAAUUCCAGGUGUAGCGGUGAAAUGCGUAGAUAUCUGGAGGAACACCGGUGGCGAAGGCGGCAUCCUGGACCGAGAUUGACGCUGAUGCGCGAAAGCCAGGGGGAGCAAAACGGGGAUUAGGAUACCCCGGUAGUCCUGGCCCUAAACGAUGAAUGCUUGGUGUGGCGGGUAUCGAUCCCUG